CGGAGAGGUGACCGAGUGGCUGAAGGUAGCGGUUUGCUAAACCGUCGUACGGGGUAUCCCCCGUACCGCGGGUUCGAAUCCCGCCCUCUCCGU
rnacentral:tRNA from 2 species